UACGUAGGGGGCUAGCGUUGUCCGGAUUUAUUGGGCGUAAAGAGCUCGUAGGCGGUUUGGCAAGUCGGGUGUGAAAUCUCCACGCCUAACGUGGAGCGGUCAUUCGAUACUGCCAUGACUAGAGUCCGGUAGGGGAGUGUGGAAUUCCCGGUGUAGCGGUGAAAUGCGCAGAGAUCGGGAGGAACACCCGUAGCGAAGGCGGCACUCUGGGCCGGUACUGACGCUGAGGAGCGCAAGCGUGGGGAGCAAACAGG
rnacentral:rRNA from 1 species